GUUUUCAUCGGUAUUGUUUUUAGAAGAAAGAAACUGCUGGCAUUGCAGAAGCGGAGCAGGUACCUCCUUGCUCUCCUGAGCCGGAUAAAGUAGAUGAAAGAUCUAUGUGGAUUGAUGUAAGAUCUCUGUUCAAGAUUCUAUAACAAAAGCUCGUGGUCUCAAGCUCCCUCCCUUGCUCUGGCCCUAUGGAGUUGGCUAUUAGUUUUUUUGUUUGUUUGUUUUGUUUUGUUUUCUGUUUUAUAUGCUCUGGAUUCUCUAGGACAUGGAGGCCUGUGUUUGGGAGACUACCAUGGCAUCACUGUGAGAGAGACCUUGCAAACAAGGUUCGGUUCAGAUGGUUUCCAGAUUCAGACAAAUAUGAGCUGCUACCCCUGAAAGAUGUGGAGCAGAAGGAAUGGUCAUGACCAACAUCUCACAAUGAAUAUAUUCAAAUGACAAAUAACUCGCUAGUUCACAGUCCAGGUGGAAAUUUACCCAAUGUGGACUCCACUGAAGGAAAACCUGGUCAGCUAAGAUACACUCAUGUUUGCUCUUCUUAUCUGAAAUUAUGGAGUGGUGGACAGACUGUUCUUGAGUGAGGCAAGGAGCAGGCAGCUAGAAGGAUGGUUACUUUUAGAGGAAAGGGUAGAAAUACUGAAAUAUCACCUGAUGAAUGUUACCGAGAGAACCUAGAAAAGGAGAUGGAGAGAGGGCUGGUCUAGUCUUUAGCUUAAAUAGUCUCCAUUUGCUACUGCCCUCUCUUAUUUUUCCUUUGGUUUUCUAUUAAAUGAUUGAUUCUGA